rnacentral:rRNA from 1 species
GACGAACGCUGGCGGCGUGCCUAACACAUGCAAGUCGUACGGGACCGGGGGCAACUCCGGUUCAGUGGCAGACGGGUGCGUAACACGUGAGGAACUUGUCCGGUGGCGGGGGAUAGCCGGCCCAACGGCCGGGUAAUACCGCAUACGCUCGUUCGGGGGCAUCCCUGGGCGAGGAAAGCAGCCGCAAGGUUGCGCCGACGGAGGGCCUCGCGACCUAUCAGCUUGUUGGCGGGGUAACGGCCCACCAAGGCACGACGGGUAGCUGGUCUGAGAGGAUGAUCAGCCACAUUGGGACUGAGACACGGCCCAGACUCCUACGGGAGGCAGCAGUGGGGAAUAUUGCGCAAUGGCCGCAAGGCUGACGCAGCGACGCCGCGUGUGGGAUGACGGUCUUCGGAUUGUAAACCACUGUCAGGGGAACGAAUACAGGGCUUCGAUAAGGAGACCCUGGGUGACGGUACCUCCAAAGGAAGCACCGGCUAACUCCGUGCCAGCCGCCGCAGUAAC